rnacentral:rRNA from 1 species
AGCGAACGCUGGCGGCGUGCUUAACACAUGCAAGUCGAGUGCGCGGUUCGUAGCAAUACGAACUGGCGCACGGCGCACGGGUGAGGAACACGUGGGCAACAUGCCCUCCGAUGGGGAAUAACCCGCCGAAAGGCGGGCUAAUACCGCAUACGAUUCCGGGGACCUCGGUUCCUGGACUGAAACGCCCGCAAGGGCGUCGGUGGAGUCGGCCCGCGGCCGAUUAGCUUGUGGCGGGGUAACGCCCACAAGGCAAUGAUCGGUAGCCGGUCUGAGAGGAUGAUCGGCCACACUGGAACUGAGACACGGUCCAGACUCCUACGGGAGGCAGCAGUGGGGAAUCUUGCGCAAUGGGCGAAAGCCUGACGCAGCGACGCCGCGUGGGGAUGAAG